rnacentral:rRNA from 1 species
AGAGUUUGAUCAUGGCUCAGGAUCAACGCUGGCGGCGUGCCUAACACAUGCAAGUCGCACGGCCUGCCUGCGGGCAGGCAGUGGCGCACGGGUGAGCAACACGUGGAUUACCUACCCCUAGGUCAGGAAUACCGGCGAGAAAUCGCUGACAAUACCUGCUAGCUUUGGGUGCCCAAAGAAAGCUGGUCACAGCGCCUGGGGAGGGGUCCGCGCCCGAUUAGUUGGUUGGUGGGGUAAUGGCUCACCAAGACCCCGAUCGGUAGCUGGUCUGAGAGGAUGAUCAGCCACACUGGGAUUGAGAACGGCCCAGACUCCUACGGGGGGCAGCAGUGAGGAAUUUUCCGCAAUGGACGCAAGUCUGACGGAGCAACGCCGCGUGCAGGAGGACGGUCUUCGGAUCGUAAACUGCUUUUGCUAGGGACGACACCCGACGGUACCUAGCGAAGAAGCCCCGGCUAACUACGUGCCAGCAGCCGCGGUAAGACGUAGGGGGCGAGCGUUGUCCGGAGUUACUGGGCGUAAAGGGCCCGUAGGCGGUCGCGUGCGUUGGGGGUGCCAGCUGAGGAGCUCAACUCUCAGAGUGCCUCCAAAACGGGGCGACUUGAGCCAGCGAGAGGGACACGGAACUCCGAGUGGAGUGGUGAAAUGCGUAGAGAUUCGGAAGACACCAAAGGCGAAGGCAGUGUCCUGGCGCUGGGCUGACGCUCAGGGGCGAAAGCUAGGGGAGCUAACGGGAUUAGAUACCCCGGUCGUCCUAGCCCUAAACGAUGACCACUAGGUGUGGGCGGGUUCGAGCCCGUGCGCGCCGCAGCUAACGCAGUAAGUGGUCCGCCUGGGGAGUACGGUCGCAAGAUUAAAACUCAAAGGAAUUGACGGGGACCCGCACAAGCAGCGGAGCGUGUGGUUUAAUUCGAUGCAACGCGAAGCACCUUACCAGGGCUUGACAUGCCGAGGAAGGCUCCCGAGAGGGGGCUGCCCGCACGGGCUUCGGCACAGGUGCUGCAUGGCUGUCGUCAGCUCGUGUCGUGAGAUGUUGGGUUAAGUCCCGCAACGAGCGCAACCCUCAUGGUCGGUUGGACUUCUCCGGCCAGACUGCCCCGUCCAACGGGGAGGAAGGUGGGGAUGACGUCAAGUCCGCACGGCCCGUACGUCCUGGGCUACACACACGCUACAAUGGCCACGACAAUCAGUCGCGCCCCCGCAAGGGUUAGCUAAUCUGGCAAACGUGGUCUCAGUUCAGAUUGGAGGCUGCAACCCGCCUCCAUGAAGUCGGAGUUGCUAGUAACCGUGGGUCAGCACACCACGGUGAAUGCGUUCCCGGGUCUUGUACACACCGCCCGUC